GGAGCAUGGCGGCGGCGCUUCACCUCGCGUUACCUCACGCCAUCUCCCUUCCUUUAGACAGGGCCGAAGGAAACGCAGCGAUACAGGGCGGUGGAAACGAGCUUUUGUUCUCUCUUUGAGCAGCCACAGCCCUCACACCACCCUCACAGCUCCAAACCUGUGGGUAACUCUCACCUGGCUGCCAAGUGAAGCACAAACGUAGGGAAGGUCUGUACGAAUUGCUGUUAAACCUCAAAACACAGGUGGAAAAGUUGUGUCUGACUGGAUGUAAAAGCUCAUUACACAAUGGCAUUCUGCCUUACAGACUGUUUCUUUACCGGUCAGUGCAUUGCCUGAGUUAUAGCUGAACUUGCUGGGUUCAAGGCCUGCAAGAGGACCAGAAACUGGCAGAAAACAAGGGACAAUCUUGUAUGUUAAAACUUCCUUAUCCAUAUUAACUAAUUUAACAUAGGUUUCACCUGGAGCAGAGUUUUCACCAAGCAUUGAAGACCAUCUUUAAAUACUGCCUUUGUGGGAGCAGUGAACAGCCAUUGCAGCUCGUUGGAUGAAAGAAGUGAAUCACACAGAAUCACAGAAUUACCUGGGUUGGAAGGGACCUCAAGGAUCAUGUAGUUCCAACCCCCCUGCCUGGCAGGGCCACCAAACAUACACAUUUACUAGAUCAGGUUGCCCAGGGCCCUGUCCAACCUGGUCUUGAACACCUCCAAGGACGGGGCAUCCACAACCUCCCUGGGCAGCCUGUUCCAGGGCCUAACCACUCUCCUAGUGAAGAAAAGUGAAGUCAGUUAAGUGACAUUAUGACCAGGAUUCCGAGAUGAUUUCUUUACACACACUUGCACGCUCUAUCAAUUUGUUUUCAUUGUGAGUUUUGAAUGAACACAUAUGAGGGAGGACUUUCUUCUCAAGAGAAGUGGAAAUUUGUUGGCUAUUUCUGUUGGCGAGUCACAGGACAAAGCAGAGUGCCUGGGUAUCAUGGUACUUUCACACCUUCUGUCUUCUGAACAUCUCAGUGAAUACUGUGGGAAAUCUAAUUGAGCAAAAGAACAUCUUGAAUGAAUUAUCCAAUGUAGCAUCCUCUCACUAACAAUCCCGAGGUGAGAUGUGUCAGGGACGUGCUCAGCACUGCACAGCUGUAUCCUCCGGGGGCUUCACCAUCUUUAUUGUUAUAUUUCAUGCUAAGUACCCUAUAGAACGUAGUUGUGCUGAAAAAUGAUGACAGCCCCUGACCAGGAGCGUUUACAGUAGAAAAAACACAAAUCAAUAAAAGUCAUGGCUAUUACGCA
ensembl:lncRNA